GCCAGGUAUUAUCUUCGUGACGUCAACACAGAAUGUCAGCGGCUGCCUGCAGGUAGAAGGGAACUAACCAACGGGUCUGCUGCUCCUCUUGCUCUAUACUGUGCAAAGGGUAGCCUUGGGGUAGAAGGUAGGGAACUCGGUUUCUACGUAAGGAUGCCGUUGAUACAGAAUACUAGGGCAUCCUCGUAGAAGGAACCACGUGGGCUCGGCCUCUGAAGUCCUACUGUCCUGAUUCUGGUACCUCCAGUUGCCACUGGCGCGUCGACUGCGUUUAUUAUGAAUACAAAUCCUCCGAUUGACAAAGAAGGUGCUGCUCCUAGGGAGGAACUAACAAUAAAAUACCACAAUACUUAUGAAGGCACUUCCUUUUUCGAUUUUAGCAUUGUGUGAUGUUGAAAAGCGUCCUGCAAGAAGGCCAUUCAGUUCACCUCGUAUACAGGGACCUGGUAGAUGCAAGCAAUCCUUCUUCCCUUUCAAAGUACAAGACAAAAAGAAAUAUAGAAAUAUUUGUCACUUGUGAAUUUCUGAAUUUUACACGAAAAUUAUUCUUUCUCUACCUACAAGUGUUAAGUCUUGUUACCUCUGUAAGCAGGAUAUCCAAUGCUGCUAAUGUUAUAGUAAUUCCACACAGCAUCUACAAGGGAAGUAAAAAUGUACGUGCUAAGCGUUCCAGCGACAACGGGUUACUAUUUCCUUCCAGGAUGUAUCUACCUAUGUAUAUGCACAUGCGUACUUAUAAUAGUCACAUAACAUGUGACUAGAGCGAGCAACUACAUACAAUGUGGAUAGAUAAAUAAGAUUUGGUCAUUUACAUAUAAUUAUAUAUCGUGAAACCUUUUCUUCCGGUUCACCCACCGAUACCGCCCAGUGGCAAAAGUAAAAGUGUGUGUCAUGGCUAAAGGUAAGAUUGUCGCCUUGCUAAUAAUUCAGCCAGUAUUGUAUGCUAGAUGGAAAAUGGAAAGGUUGCUGGUUGCGACGUGGUUCAGCGAUUAAUACCAGAAGUGGCAAGUAUUUGGAUUACGUAAAGAACAACGCAGGCUGCAUAUUGAAAAGAAGAGACGAAACGUAUUUGAGCGAUAUUUCGUGAAAUGUAUUAUUAAUCGAUGCUCGAACUAUUUCUAUGCAGACUGAAUCAAAAGAAUUCGUCGGAGGCAUUUACGUAAAUCCUUGAAGAAGUUGUAAGACGUUGAGUCACGAACAAGCCGGAUGAGACUGAAAGCAAAAGUAUUUUAAAUUCUAUCCUCGAUGACAAUUUCGCGAAAAUUUUGUUCGCAAAGGAAUUAAAAAUGUUUCUUAUUAAUUGUAAUAAUCUGUUGUUUCUUAUGAUGCGUUUGUAAUACCAAUUAUUUAUAUCCACCCAGUAUAUAGGUUCGUAACAGUAUACAUGCAUAGUCGUUGAGUAGCCAUGCAUAUAGAGUUAUUUAGAGAAAUAAAAUUGUUUGAAAUUAUUCCACCGUAUAACACACCCUAUGAUACCCUUGAACGAUUCUUAUCGAUUACGCAACUGCACGUGGACAGACUGAAGAACAUAAUAUUGGGAUAUACAGAACAUAGAGUGUGUAAGAAAUUCCAUAUGUUUAUGUCGCAUAAUACAGCAAUUGUUUCUUCUGCUUCUAAGAACAAUCCAGACUUCUGGAUUACCCGGUAUGAUAAGCCAUGUAGCACUCGGUGCAUAUAAUGGCAAAAAGUGUAUACUAGAGCAUAUAUAUGUACACGUGGAGAAUUAGCGAUAACAUAGAAACGCACAGGUGAACUGCCAGUUCUCAUUACUCGAAUGUUCCAAAGUCCUACAAAAGCAGUUUGCACUCGUAAAUCGUAUGCGAUAACGUACUGCUCCGAUGUCUUUACUCUUUAGCAAGCGUGCCUGGUGUUAGCAUUAAGAAUAUUGCUAGGCUGAACACGUAUUCUGAGUUAUCGCGGAUGGUAUCGUGCGACAGUAAUGAUCAAGCAUGUCGCUGUCGUUAACGUGUAGAGGAAUGAGUGGAUUUUGCUAAUCUGGAAACAUGAGACUUAUAAUAUUUUAUAGCCACUUGGAGAGUAAUCUGUGGGUGAAACUGAAAUUUCUUAACUCCCAUGAAAUCUGGGUUGGGCCAGUUGGCUGAAUUCUUCUGAGAGUACUUUUGACUUGAGGACUGUAAUCUGGGAAACCGUUACGAUUGGAAUGCAC